rnacentral:rRNA from 1 species
UACGUAGGGUGCGAGCGUUAAUCGGAAUUACUGGGCGUAAAGUGUGCGCAGGCGGCCGCGCAAGUCGAGUGUGAAAGCCCCGGGCUUAACUUGGGAAUUGCGCUCGAAACUACGUGGCUGGAGUGUGGCAGAGGAAGGUGGAAUUCCACGUGUAGCGGUGAAAUGCGUAGAGAUCGGGAAGAAUACCAGUGGCGAAGGCGGUCUGCUGGGCCGUUGCUGACGCUGAGGCGCGACAGCGUGGGGAGCAAACAGG